UUAAAAGAAGUCAAAUGGAGAAUGUGGAGGAGGUUGAAAUUUGAACUGGGCCACAUAGGUUUGAACAGAAUGAGUUGGAAACCUCAGGCCAUCUCCUGUAUUGACAUGCUAUCAGUCAGUAAAUAUGAAAUUCAGAAUUCUAGAAGAAGCAGCCUGAAAAACCAAGAAACUGAAAUGUCUUACAAUUCAACAAUUCAACAGAGGUCAUCUUUUGAAAAUCUGGACUCAGUUAUGUAUUUUUCUCUAAAUAGAGCUAUAUAGUACUUUGGCCACAAUGAUGUAUGGUUGAGCCUUGUCCCUAACAUAUUUGGAGUUUUAAUGUAACCAAGAAUUCCUCAAUACAGAGUAACAAAUUUCAUUACAGAAACUAAGUUGAAAUACUAAAUCUUAA
rnacentral:lncRNA from 1 species